AAGCUUUCGUAUUUAUGUGCUGCAUGUAUUAUUCAGAAGGAAGAUGAUUCCAAGUCAUGUUAUUUCCAAGGAAGCAACAAUAACUUCACUGGACCCCUGCUGAUCUUAAAGUGCAGCAUGAAAAACAGUCUUGGAGACUUCUAGAGAUGUCCGAAGUAUGCCUACGGGGAGCAAUAGGGAUACCAGGAGAAUCUGAUGAAUCUGAACAUUGAAUCUGACCCUUCUGAGAGGACACCACACCACUAAAGGAAUCAAACAGAAGAUACAAAAUUUCUGCUCUCAGUUCUCUUCGUUGUAUAGUCAUUGCUGCUUCCGGUGAGCUUCAACUGUGGUGAAGAAAGACACCCACAUACCUAACAACAACAUAAGAGAGAAAGAAAAAAAUACAUUUAGCAAAGGUACAAGCAACAUGUUACAUGAUCACUGAGGAAGAAGCAGAUGUGUUAAAGUGUAAAAAGGAAGCUGUGAAAGAGAUAUCAAAAAUAGGAGGAAGAGAGAGAGAGAAAAUGAAAGAAGAUGUGUAAUCCUGGGCUGUAGCUACAUGGCCUCGGAUGUGGUGAACUGCAGACAGAGCAGUGUGGCAGCUGAAUGACAAACACAGCAAAUUGGAACAACAUAAACCCUCCAUAACUUUAACAUCAUAGCUGAUUAAGUUUUCUGGCAUGUACAAUGCAUCCACUGUGAGAAAUUCUGUAUCUCAGACAUGACUCACUGUUUAGCAUGUUUAUACCAUUAGGAAAUACUAAAGAUGUUUCCUCAAGCGUAUGAUUGUAUUAUAAGAGCACAUGUAAGAGCACUUAUUUUGAUAGUAAAGAGUGGCUACCAGUAGCUUGGGUUUGCCACAAGAAUCUCUAUAUUCAAUCUUUAAAAUAAGUGAUUAUAAAAUAAAUAUCUAGCAGUGAAAAAAGAAUUAACUACCCUAAGAAGACUAUCUGUAAGGGUCACAGGCUCUUGGUCUGGUUGAUGUCAAGCAGUACACACAAGAGCAAGACUAUGCAUUUUGCAUAAUCACUAGACAUAACAGAGUGAGUAGAAUAUAUGAUAAUUUGGCUCUAAAAGAAGAGAUUUAUCAACAUUUUUGGAAUCAGCAACUUUGAAAUUAUGGGAAAUGAGGAGAAUAUAAAAAGACAUGAGUAAACAGAAUGCCUAGUAAUUUGAGAAGAAAUUGAAAGAGCAAAUUAGAAUAUUGCAAAACAAACACAGCAGCCCUAAAGGGAAGUCCCCAAAACAAAAACUUUGUUCCAUCCUAGAUAAAGAUAGCAAAGGAUUUCUAGGAAUGGGAUUGCCAUGUCUUAGAAUGUGUGCUUCACUUCAUAAGAAACUGAUGGACUUGUACCUGUAAUCUCAUCACUUUGGGAGGCUAAGGCAGGGGAAUUGCUUCAGCCCAGGAGUUCAAGACCAGCCUAGGCAACAUUGUGAAAUCCCAUCUACACACACACACACACACACACACACACAGACAAUUAGCCAGGCAUGGUUGCACACACCUAUAGUCCCAGCUACUCCGGCAGAACGCUAAGGUGGGAGGAUCACCUGAGCCAGGGAGGUCGAGGUUGCAGUGAGCAGUGAUUGUGCCACAACACUCCAGCCUGGGUGACAGAGGAAGACCCUAUCUCAAAAACAAAACAGAAUGAAACAAAAAACUGAAACUGUUUUCUAAAGUGGCUGAACCAUUCUGUACCCCUACUAGCUAUGUAUGAGAGCUCUGUUCAUUCUGUAUCUUCACAGUGCU
rnacentral:lncRNA from 1 species